rnacentral:rRNA from 1 species
AGGACGAACGCUGGCGGCGUGCUUAACACAUGCAAGUCGAGGGGGCAGUUGGGGCAACCUGGCUGUCACCGGCGAACGGGUGCGUAACACGUGAGCGACCUACCUCUUGGCGGGGGAUAGCCGGCCCAACGGCCGGGUAAUACCGCAUACGCUCCCUUUUGGGCAUCUGGAGGGAGGGAACUUUCGAGGCAGAGAGAGGGGCUCGCGGCCUAUCAGCUAGUUGGCGGG